rnacentral:rRNA from 1 species
GACGAACGCUGGCGGCAUGCCUAAUACAUGCAAGUCGAGCGAACAGAUGAAGUGCUUGCACUUCUGACGUUAGCGGCGAACGGGUGAGUAACACGUAAGGAAUCUACCUAUAAGCGGGGGAUAACAUUCGGAAACGGGUGCUAAUACCGCAUAAUAUCUUCUUCCGCAUGGAAGAAGAUUGAAAGACGGCUCUGCUGUCACUUAUAGAUGACCUUGCGGUGCAUUAGUUAGUUGGUGGGGUAACGGCCUACCAAGACGAUGAUGCAUAGCCGACUGGAGUGGGUGAUCGGCCACAUUGGGCCUGAGACACGGCCCAACCUCCUACGGGAGUCAGCAGUAGGGAAUCUUCCGCAAAGGGCGAAAGCCUGACGGAGCAAUGCCGCGUGAGUGAAGAAGGCCUUCGGGUCGUAAAACUCUGUUAUAAGAGAAGAACAAAUUGUAGAGUAACUGCUACAGUCUUGACGGUAUCUUAUCAGAAAGCCACGGCUAACUACGUGCCAGCAGCCGCCGUAA